UGCCUGUCAUGAACCAAAAGAAUUUGAAAAGAAUCCAGGUAAUCAUGUUCCAUUGCCAUAUUUUUAUUAUGUGAAGAAGAAAGUUUUGGCUUACCAAUGUCGUCCUGUUCAUUUGCCAUAGCCACAUUUGUUCAAGGGGACUUUUCCAGCUGCUUCCAUCUCCCUUAUCAGGUAAGCUACCAUUGGCAACAAGUAGCCCCUCCCCCUUAAGUUUUCUUCAUUCAUUGGUUCCUUUGCAUUGCAGUUGAGAGGUUUCAGUGUAAAGGUCUCCUCUCUAAUUAAUAAAUUCAUGACCAAUGCUUCGCUUACAGAAAUUUUCUGUACAUAUAGAACUAUUCUAAAUUCAUUAUUUCUAAAAAUCAGAAUUUGCCAAGAGAUCAAUUGCAACACUAAUUAUGAACUCCAGAAGAAAAGAAGAAAGAAUACCACAUAUCUAAAAUAUCCUCUCAGCUUCUUUCACAGUGAUGCCGUCGCCACCACCAAGUUUUCCAUUCCAAAUAUGCAUUUUGACAAAGAAAUU
rnacentral:lncRNA from 1 species